rnacentral:sRNA from 1 species
UAGAUUCCGGAGUCUGUCUCGAUUUCUCCAGCGGAGUCACUUCCUAGCUGUGCAGCCUUAGGCAAGGCCCUGAACCACACAUUUCCCUUCUGUGGCAGGGGACAGUGUGCCCUUCACAGGCCGUCGUGAGGACUGAAUUCAGUAAUCCAGGGGCAGAAAAACACUGGCAGAUGUUAUUGUCCCUCCCUUCCCUCCCUCCCCUCCCCUAGGCGGCCGUGGCUCUGAGGGACAUUUCCUGGCAGCAGCCCUACCCGAUGGACUUCUACGCUGGCAGCUCUUUGGGGCCCUGGACGGUGAACCACGGCCAGGACCGCCGUCCCCACGCCCCGGGCCGGCCCGCGCGGGGGAAGGUGCAGGAGGGGUCCGCGCGUCCCCCUUCAGCCGUGGCUUGCGAGGAUUGCAGCUGCAGGGACGAGAAGGUGGCGCCGCUGGCUCCUUGACGUGCUCCGGGGCCUCAGGGUCCUGCCCUCCGGAGGAGCAGCCUCGAGGCUGGUGGUUUUCAGAGCAGGAGGCCGACGUUUUCUCCGCAUUGGAAGAGCCCGCC